rnacentral:rRNA from 1 species
ACGAAGGGUGCAAGCGUUACUCGGAAUUACUGGGCGUAAAGCGUGCGUAGGUGGUUCGUUAAGUCUGAUGUGAAAGCCCUGGGCUCAACCUGGGAAUGGCAUUGGAUACUGGCGACCUAGAGUGCGGUAGAGGGUGGCGGAAUUCCCGGUGUAGCAGUGAAAUGCGUAGAGAUGUGGAGGAACACCGAUGGCGAAGGCAGCCCCCUGGGCCGACACUGACGCUCAUGCACGAAAGCGUGGGGAGCAAACAGGA